GCCCUGAGCCUCCUCUCCUUACCACUUCCUCCUGAUCCCAUGGGCCUCCCAGAUUGCCAUCCCAUUCACACUGGGACUGUGUGUGGGCCAGCUGGCUGGAACUGGUUUCCCCACCAAGGGCAUGCAUCCUCAACAGCCAGCUGGGGAUACUGUAUGGCUUCUGAGGAUAACAGUCCUGGGGAGACUCGGAUGGUGAUGACUCUAUCGUGAGGCCCACCCCCAAGCCCACAGAGCUGUCUGGGGACUCGGACAUCAGAGCAACAUCACCUCUGGUGUCACGUGGGCAUGCCAGGAUAGGGCUACUGCUUCCAGAAGCAUAGUCCUUGGUGGAGGUGCGGUGUACAGCUGCUGCAUUGUUGCCAUGUUCUCAAAGACUUGGAGUAAACAAGGAAGACUGUCGUCCCCAAGAGAGGCAAAGCAUUACUUAACCAGGAACUCAAAUUCUCCCACAAAACUCUGUGUCAUUCUCCCUCCCUACUUGAGUGUGGGUUGGACCUAGAGACUUGCUUCCAAAGAAGAGUGUGGAAAGGGGAAACAAAGCUGUGAUGGAGAAGCCUGGCGGAUACUACUUUUACCCAGAAUGGGUGCUUACCACUUAGAGUGGAGGGAGCCACCCUUUCCUGAGUGUUACCUCGCUUGUCAAAUUAUGCUUCCACGUGGUUCAGUACUCCAGCUACCGUUUGACCAGUGAAGAACGAUGAAGUUUUGGAAUAUAAGUGAGGUUUGAAGCCAACAACCAAGAAAGAAUCCUUGAGACCUCUUUGCUCAUUCUCUAUCUGUGAAAUAAUGAGCCCUCUCACCUUUGUGUCACUGAUGUAAACUGAGUUUAAGAGCCUUUCUCCACAUGGAGUUACUCCUUGGAACUAUGGUUUCCCCUCCUCCUGGUCCAGGUAAGCUCCGGCAAGCGCGGGAAGCCCGGUGUCCACCUCGGAGGCCCUGGAGGCACAGAGCUUGCACAGGAGGCGCACGCAGCCCGCCCUGCACGGCGAGCACACGGCGGGCCCCGAACUGGUCACAGGGCCGGGUGGCCUGCGUCCCGGGUUCUCUGCAGGUGAACAGGAAAGCUCUGUCGGUCCCUUGCUAAUAAGCCAGCUCCGUCCUGCCCACGGAAGAGAAGAGUGGGGAAGCGUUUUUGCCAAAACCCCACAUCAUUUCCCCUUUGACCAGCAGGUCUGCGUCGGCCUGCCUCGGGCUCGCGCAGGCCCAGGCUACGGCCCCGGCCCCGGCCCCGGCCCCCCAGGCCCCGAGUCCGGACCGGCCACAGCCGCUCGGA